GACGAACGCUGGCGGCGUGCUUAACACAUGCAAGUCGAACGAUGAAGCUGUGCUUGCACAGUGGAUUAGUGGCGAACGGGUGAGUAACACGUGAGUAACCUGCCCUCCACUUUGGGAUAACUCCGAGAAAUCGGGGCUAAUACUGGAUAUGACCUUGGCCCGCAUGGGUUGUGGUGGAAAGUUUUUCGGUGGGGGAUGGGCUCGCGGCCUAUCAGUUUGUUGGUGAGGUAGUGGCUCACCAAGGCGAUGACGGGUAGCCGGCCUGAGAGGGCGACCGGCCACACUGGGACUGAGACACGGCCCAG
rnacentral:rRNA from 1 species